rnacentral:rRNA from 1 species
UACGAAGGGGGCUAGCGUUGUUCGGAAUUACUGGGCGUAAAGGGUUCGUAGGUGGCUUGCUAAGUCAGACGUGAAAUCCCUCAGCUUAACUGGGGAACUGCGUCUGAGACUGGUGAGCUUGAGUGCAGGAGAGGAACGCGGAAUUCCACGUGUAGCAGUGAAAUGCGUAGAGAUGUGGAGGAAUACCGAUGGCGAAGGCAGCCCCCUGGGCCAAUACUGACGCUCAUGCACGAAAGCGUGGGGAGCAAACAGG